UUCCAUGUGUAGCGGGAAAUUGCGCAGAGAUAUGGAGGAACACCAGGGGCGAAGGCGACUUUAUGGUCUGUAACUGACGCUGAUGUGCGAAAGCGUGGGGAUCAACCAGGAUUAGAUACCCUGGUAGUCCACGCCGUAAACGAUGAGUGCUAAGUGUUAGGGGGUUUCCGCCCCUUAGUGCUGCAGCUAACGCAUUAAGCACUCCGCCUGGGGAGUACGACCGCAAGGUUGAAACUCAAAGGAAUUGACGGGGACCCGCACAAGCGGUGGAGCAUGUGGUUUAAUUUGAAGCAACGCGAAGAGCCUUACCAAAUCUUGACAUCCUCUGACCCCUCUAGAGAUAGAGUUUUCCCCUUCGGGGGACAGAGUGACAGGUGGUGCAUGGUUGUCGUCAGCUCGUGUCGUGAGAUGUUGGGUUAAGUCCCGCAACGAGCGCAACCCUUAAGCUUAGUUGCCAUCAUUAAGUUGGGCACUAUAAGUUGACUGCCGGUGACAAACCGGAGGAAGGUGGGGAUGACGUCAAAUCAUCAUGCCCCUUAUGAUUUGGGCUACACACGUGCUACAAUGGACAAUACAAAGGGUAGCGAAACCGCGAGGUCAAGCAAAUCCCAUAAAGUUGUUCUCAGUUCGGAUUGUAGUCUGCAACUCGACUAUAUGAAGCUGGAAUCGCUAGUAAUCGUAGAUCAGCAUGCUACGGUGAAUACGUUCCCGGGUCUUGUACACACCGCCCGUCACACCACGAGAGUUUGUAACACCCGAAGCCGGUGGAGUAACCAU
rnacentral:rRNA from 1 species